UACGUAGGGCGCAAGCGUUGUCCGGAAUUAUUGGGCGUAAAGAGCUUGUAGGCGGUUUGUCGCGUCUGCUGUGAAAAUCCGGGGCUCAACCCCGGACUUGCAGUGGGUACGGGCAGACUAGAGUGUGGUAGGGGAGACUGGAAUUCCGGGUGUAGUGGUGGAAUGCGUAGAGAUCCGGAGGAACACCAGCGGCGAAGGCGGCGUCCUGGACUGGUACUGACGCUCAGGAGCGAAAGCAUGGGGAGCGAUCCGG
rnacentral:rRNA from 1 species